rnacentral:RNase_P_RNA from 1 species
GAAGCCAGCCAGACCGCCGCUGGUGCAAGCAGGGAAACCUGGCACUGGAGGAAGGUCCGGACUGCAUAGAGUGGCGUAGCAGUUAACGGCUGCCCGGCGCGAGCCGAGGAUCAGAGCAACAGAGACGAGUCAGUCCGGGGUUCCGUGAGGGUGUUCUGCCGCAAGGCAGCCACCCAAUCCGGAGCAAGGCUCCGGAUUGGGUGAAACGGGCAAUCUCUACGCGCAGCAACACCAAGUAGGCCAGCGUUGACGUGACUCGCGGAGCUGGCGGGUAGGUGGCACCGAGCCGAAGGGCGACCUUCGGCCCAGAGGAAUGGCGGUCACGGCGGGGCUUCGCAAGAAGCGCUGCCGCACAGAAUCCGGCCUAUCGGCUGACUUCACAC